CAGAUAUCGACCAAGCAGAAAUAUUGAACACAGUGUGACAAAUACAACCACAGCCACUAUUCCUCCUAUAAGAGCAUGGUCGGGGCCAGCCUGGCCAGCCAGAGCAUUGGGAUCUGAGAAAGAGUGGAAAAUAUUUGUCUGGUAACCUUCUGUUGUGAUCCUGAGAAAUAAAAGUUGAAGAUGGAAGACUCACAGGAAUAAGUAAAGCACCUGGCUUUGAGGAUCAUGAUGGAAACACUUGCUCCAUUCAUGAAGAGGAUUCCAAUGCCAGUCUACACUAAUUGAACACCCUUCAGAGUGCUUCUUCAUCCUGUAGGACAUUCAUCUUUCCCUGUGUUUCCAAAUUCCAAACAACAGUGACCAGUGUCUCCAUGUCAAUUUUUCAUGAAUAAUUUAAUGCAGGUGU